GUAGAGGGGCAUUAUGUUUUCUGGUCUGUGGCUCCGUUCAUUCGUUAGUUCAUCCGUCCAUCCAUCCGUUCAUCUGUCCGUUCGUCUGUCCGUCCGUUCAGGUUAAAGGUUUUGGUCAAGGUAGUUUUUGAUGAAGCUGAAGUCCAAUCAACUUGAAACUUAGUACACUUGUUGCUUAUGAUAUGAUCUUUCUAAUUUUAAAGCAAAAUUAGACUUUUGAC
rnacentral:lncRNA from 1 species